GGGGAUGAUGAUCUCUGCGUGAUGGGAAGUGCCGUCUGAUGCGAAAACUGACGAGGUUAUCCGCGCUGACC